GGUGACCUAACUUUGAAGCUUCUAAAUAAUGACAUUUCCUAGACUAAACUGUAAUGGCAAAGCAAUUAUUAGUUUAGAGUUACGGUUGAUGUCAUUUUGUUUCAUUUGAGGUUUUUUGUCAUAUGACCAGAAAUAAGGCUAUUUCUAUUAAAAACAACAGCAUAAAUUGUAUUCCUCCAGUUUAGUCCAGUGUUUCUCCAAUGAAAAGUGUUGGUAAAUAUACCUAGAAAGAUCACUUAUACACAUAAAAGCUAUAAAGUUCCAGGCAAGUGAUAGAUGACAAUAUUGGUAAUGUAGAUCAUACAAAUGAAUAACUCAUCCUCUUCACCUUCUAAACGCUGUCUUUCCAUUUCCGUUUUCUUAGAUGUUAAAAUCUGUCACCAUGCCAAAAAAGAUGGAGGGGAAAAGGAAAGAGCUGGAUAGUUUUUUAUUUAUUUUCUAAAGUAACGAUGGAAAUAGAGAUUUGAUGGAGUUGUGAGAAAAUUAUUUUUUAUAUCUAUUGUUUAGCCACAAAGCUAAAACAGAAUUACUUGUCUAUUAACAGAAAUGGUGAAAAGUUUUUUAGUGUAAUUUCUAAAAUAUUACUGAU
rnacentral:lncRNA from 1 species